UACGGAGGGGGCUAGCGUUGUUCGGAAUUACUGGGCGUAAAGCGCGCGUAGGCGGACCUGCAAGUCGGGAGUGAAAGCCCGAGGCUCAACCUCGGAACUGCCUUCGAUACUGCGGGUCUCGAGUCCGGGAGAGGUGAGUGGAAUUCCUAGUGUAGAGGUGAAAUUCGUAGAUAUCAGGAAGAACACCUAUGGCGAAGGCAGCUCUCUGGACCGGAACUGACGCUGAGGCGCGAAAGCGUGGGGAGCAAACAGG
rnacentral:rRNA from 1 species